UACGAAGGGUGCAAGCGUUACUCGGAAUUACUGGGCGUAAAGCGUGCGUAGGUGGUUCGUUAAGUCCGAUGUGAAAGCCCUGGGCUCAACCUGGGAAUGGCAUUGGAUACUGGCGGGCUAGAGUGCGGUAGAGGGCAGUGGAAUUCCAGGUGUAGCGGUGAAAUGCGUAGAUAUCUGGAGGAACACCGGUGGCGAAGGCGGCAUCCUGGACCGACACUGACGCUGAGGAGCGAAAGCCAGGGGAGCAAACGGG
rnacentral:rRNA from 1 species